CCCAGAACUGUAACUCUUGAUCCUGAGCCUGGGCAGGACAGCUUGUCUCAGCAUGAACUCUUAUGUGAAACUGCAGAGUAAAUCUGGACAGUGAGUUCCAGGGGACUGCACAGGCUGUUCUUCAUUGGUACCUGGAUCACUGAGCUGGCAGAUACCACAAACACUGCAGAAAUAUGACAGGGAAUUGGGAAGAUGUAAAGUAAGCCUCAGUUUCCCCCAAAAGGAAAGCUGAAAGCUGAUAAGAUGUGAUCCCUAGCAAAUUCCAGAGGCUCCACGGCACCAUCCUGCUGGAGAGAAUGAUUUCCUCUCUCUUUCCAUAUGGACUCUGCUUUCUUAAGAGUUCCAGUGGGAGUGAGAAUAUGGUACAUGACCGUUGGCAGGAGGAGCAAGUGGCAGUGGUCCUUCAUGUCCUAGAAAUCCAACAACAUUGAAUCCGUUCCCCGCAUUUCCCUGAUGGACACUCUUGGUCUACACACAGGAACCGUUCAUCGAUCCUGCUCUCUGGAGAUGGCGCUUCUUAGAUUCUUAACAACAACAUGGCUUAAAGAUAAAGAAAAUAGAACUUUGAAAAUAUAAAAUAAUGGUAACAUUGACAGACAUCUGGAGGAGGAGGAUGUAAGAUAAGUGUUAAAACACUGUUCCUUGGGGCUGGGGUUGUGGCUCAGCAGUAGAGCAUUUGCCUAGCACGUGUGAGGCCCUGGGUUCAGUCCU